rnacentral:lncRNA from 1 species
AUUGGAAGGAAAUAUUUCUUCACUGUAUGCAAUGUUAGAAAUUCGUAACAUUGUCCAAAUGGCUUGAUGAGAGCUGCAAUUAUCUGAACAUUCAAUGCUGAUCCACUCAUGAAGCGAUCAUGCAAGAUCUGGAAUCCAUUUAAUGUGCCAAACUUGUUGAUGAGAUCUACUAGCCAACCUUUUGGUGAGCGUGGGUCAGGAGGACGUGCAUAAAGUUCAUCUUCAGCGAGCUGGACUCCUGCAGGAACUGUUUCAGAGGGACGUGUACCAUUGUAUAGAUGGAAUUUGCAGUGAGGAUUUAAGGCCAUGGCAAGAAGUUCAAGAAGGGGAAACCAAUCCUGGGACAGCUUGGCCACACAGAGUUCUACUAGUCGAUGAGUGUUGUUAAUAAUACAUCUAUGGAUUUCAAACUUCCAGCCGCUCACUGCCUCAUCAGUAAGGAUUUUUGUGAAAGAUAUUGUCAACCCAUCUCGAAAAAAUCGCUGGCAUGCUUCGCUUUUGACAUCAAGGCCUUUUUUACUCAGAUCAAUAGCAGCUUCUAGAAGAACUUCUAAUUCCCCCUUCGGCAACACAGGAACAACCCAUCGAGGCCUGUUGAUCAUGUCAUCCAACUUUGCCAGGUCUGUGUGUGGAAAUGCAGGCUCCUCAUCUUCAAGCUGAGGUGGAGCAUCUCCUUGGCCCUGCUCAUCAGGCGGGGUAGCUGGAGAGUUCUCAUUUGAAGAAUCAGGUGAAGAUGUCUGAUUCUGCUGGAGGGGAGGCUGGGACUGUCCAUCAGGAGCCUGGCCCUGGCUAUCAUUGCCUCCUACCGGAGAGCCACGAGUCGUGGCUGUCAUACUCGACACAGGGCAGAUCUUUGCAAUUUUGUCUGCUUAAGUAGUUGUUGUGAGAGAAGAAAUUAUAGUCCACUUAGUAAAGUUGAAGUACCAGCAUAUGCUUGCUUUAAAAAGCUCCAACUCAAGAACAUGCCAUCCUGCAGAGACCAUUGCAUAACCCCCGCACGGCGUCCCCUCGUCCCGCGGCCCGGAGCGCUGCCGGCUGCUGCCGAAGGAGCGCGGCCGGGGGCUGCCUCAUGCCCGGCACGGUCUCAUGGCAGGCCCCGCGCUCCGGGCGUGCGGCCGGCCGGCUGAGGGGGCGGCUCCGCUUCCCCGCUCCCCGGGCGCUGCGACGGGCGGGAGGGAAGGAGGAAGGACGAAGAGCGAAGCCUCCGCCGCCGCCCGCGCUUCGGAUCCCGGCACCCGGCCGCUCCGCUCUCCGCGCCGCCGAGGCGUUUUUCCUGCGUCACCAGCUCCUGCCCGGCGGCGGCCCUGCGCUCCGGCUCCGGCUGGGGCUUGGCUGGGGCCUGCACGCUCCGCCCCGUCCGGGCAGCGGGCGCUCGAGGGGGAGGGGGUGCACACGCAGCCGGGGCCUGCGGCCUGCGGGGCUGGGCUGCGCGCGGGGGCAGGGAGGGAGGAAGGCAGGAGGAAGGAAGGCGGCGGCGGAGGGGCCGGGCCGGGCGGCGGAGCGCUGCGCGCUGACGGCUCCGUACGCGGGGGAGGGGAUGAGAGGGGGAGGGCGCGAGGCGAGACGCGGCGGCGGCGCCCGAGUCUCGCGGGGCCCUGGCCAAGAUGGCGGAGCUGGGCCCGGCCUGAGCGCGGCGCCGAGGGCUCCGCCGUACCGCUCCCGCCCCCGAGCCCCGCGCCUGUCAGUCACACCGCCCGCCCCCAGCCCUGCGCGCGCGGGGGGAGCUGCGCGCCGGCGGUUUCACGUCCGUUGGGCUCGAGCGGUCUCCAUUGUGACCGGCGGGCGGACCGCGCGAGACCCGGAUGAUGACGUCACGCGGCCGCUCGCUCGCUCUCAGUUCCCUUCCUCGCUGCUGCUGCUGCCGCCCGGCGGGGGCGGCGUCUCCCUUGGGCCCGGCGGAGCGGCCGCGGGACGGCGGCACAAAGCGCGGGGGCGGCGCGCUGCCCGGCGGGAGGGUGGUGCGCUUAGGCCUCGGUAGGCCGCAGGGCCGGCACCUAGAGAGGGGGGCGCGAGCGCUGUGAGAAGGCAGAGCUAGGCACGUACGGCUCCGUCAGAGAGCCAGGCCGUUAGAAGCACGGUGCUUUACGCGGCCUUUAGGGAGACAAAACCUUUAAACGUAAGGAAUGACGCCUUGUGACAGGUCAGAAGGUCGGCAGACGCGGGGAACUUGCUCUCCGAGUACCUGGAGCCGUGCUUGGUUUUAUCUGACUUUUUUAUCCUCUGUACUGCAAGGUCAAAGUCUCAUUUGAACAACAUCAUUCAAGAAUUUCAGAGCAGGAAGUGGAGGAUCCAGUCUCCAGCUGAAAACGCAGGAGGAAUUUAGGUCGCCGGGUUGGAAUUUGCUCACAGGCUUGGUAACAGCCUUCGCUCUGUGCGCAGCGUUUAUCUGCUGGACCUCACCGUGACAAAGACCAAAAUAUGGCUGGUCAUGGUCAUAGAAUCGUAUCAGAGAAUCAUAGAAUGGCCUGGGUUGAGAAGGACCACAAUGAUCAUGUAGUUUCAACCCCCUUGCUACGUGUAGGGUUGCCAACCACUAUACCAGGCUGCCCAGAGCCACAUCCAGCCUGGCCUUGAAUGCCUCCGGGGAUGGGGAGGGAGUGUCUGCUGUAAAAAGCCAGAGCUCAAAGCUAGCAGUGAUACGUCCUGUUAUUUCCUCUUUUAACAAAGUGAGGGUUAGCUGGGUUUUGCUAAUCGCUGGGAUUAUUUGGGAAGGAAACCUGAAGUACGUCUUUGCAUUAACCCCUCUGACAAAACGGUGCAGCUCCUUCACUGCUGUCCAAAUGCAACAGUUUGCAUGCUGAAAGAGGGGUUGUGUGUGCAUUUUACUCACCAACAAUACAGACAAGCCACAACUGGUGAAAAUCUGUGUCAGUGUAAGCUUAUUGUGUUCAGUUUAGAAAUAUGUGUAAUCACAGAAAUAGCAGCCUUUUCAUCUCAGCGAUUUUCAUGCCUACGAGCGUAUUCUUGUGGCCUCCUUGCUCCUUUUCUUUGCUCCUUGCUAAUUACUUUGGGCUUUCCUUCCUAUUUCCAAUUUAUCCAUUGCGCUCUCCUGGGAAAUGCUUAAAAUCAUUGCGCCUGUAAUACUUGUGAUGUUCCUUGCCUCAGUGCUCUCCCUGCAGCUCCUGACUGAUGACUGACAGCGGUAUGGCUGCACCUCCAGUGGUUUCAGUUGUAUGUUGUUUGACACGUCUCAGUCCUUAAAAAAUAAAUCGCUCUGGUUUCCGAUGCUCCUUUCUUUUUAUUGUGUUAAGUAGCUCCCUUUUAGUGACACACCAAGUACUAUGUGCCUUCUCACUGUUAUGGCUUUUUUGGCAGAGCCGAAUGACACGUCAGUGGAAUUUUAUAAUGUGGGCAAUUGUCCACCAAGAAAUUGACUGUCUGUUCACAUAAAACUCAACAAAAAGAACAGAAGCAAUACUGGUGCAACUUGUAGCAAGUACUCCCUCUCGAAAGGCUCUUUCAGCCAAGAGGAGGAGUGGAAGCUUUGUUUAAUUGAAACCUUAGGUUUGGAACAAACUGAGUACUAAUUGCUCCUCAGCUUCCCGGGACCUUGGUGAAAUUUUUCUUCUUUUAGAUUCCACUUCUUGUACAAUUUGCGGAAACUGCAAUACUUCAUAUAACGAGAUAGAAAUGGUGUGUUUGAUGGGGGGAACAGAACUACGCAUGACUAUUACUUCGUGUUUAUUCUCUUACUUUUGUAUUUGACCUCCAUUCUGUUGUAAAAUUGUAUUCUGAAGCAUGUUGACAGAGCAGUAUUUGCUUGUAGCCGUGCUAAUCAAAGGUCACGGGUAGGCUGAAGUAGACAGCUAUUUAUGGCACCAAAUAAAAGAAGAUAUUGGGACGGCGAUGGCACUUUGUGUCUGCUAAAUGAGGCCUCCUGGCCUCUGGCUCGCAAGCCAGAAUGCCCACCUAGCACUGCUCACACCACUCCAAAGGGAUCGCCUCAGCUCAGCUUAUAUGGCGCUGUUUGGUCUCUGGAAAGUAUUCUCACUUUUUUUUUUUCCCUCCUGGUGCUGCAAAUGUAUGUUACCACUUUAUCUCUGUGGAGCAACUAUGGAAACAAAAAGAUAUGCGUGAGAGGAAACUGCUGAUUAAAGAGUAUCCAUGGCAUGAAGGCAGAAGUUAGUAGGCACGCACUAAACUCCCCAAUUGUUCUCAGAUAGGUGUCCACGCAGAGAACUAUGACAGAAAAAAUGUAUUUUUCGGUAGUCAUUCUGCUUGCUUUCCCUUUGUGCACAACCUUUGCUAUGAUUAGAAAUGCUUUCACAACAUUCUUAGGGGAAAUGUGGGGAACUAAAAUGUUUCCCUGCAGGCUUUCCAGCUCUGCUAUUGCAGCCAGCCUUAUCAAAUAAAAAGUGAAACUAGUCACAAGCAAGCUGGUGGUGUUAAUCAUUAGCUAACCCAAAGAAAUUUAAAAGAAAGCCGAGAAGGACUGAGUCAGAAUGUAGAAAAUCUCUGUGCUAAUAGUUGCAUUUGUUCCCAGUUCUUAAACUCUAAUUAACGCUGUGCUGCUUCACAGACAAAACACACAGAAUUGCUCAAGCAUAUCUUAUGCUAGGAGCAGAAAAGAACAAUAACAUGUAAGAGAAAGCAGAUUUUGACCACAGAACGAUAAAAUAUCUUUUGUUUCUUCAGGUUCAGCCCCCCUAAGCGCUGCAUUAUGUAAUAUCUACUGAACUUCAGAAAACAACAUGGGCAGUGCAGCAGACAAGGAAAUAAAAUGCUGCUUGAAAACCGAAGAACCACUCCUUGGAUGUUAAGAUUUAUUUAAAGGAUCACAUCAAGGAUCAAUCGUGCAAUAUUUUCAGUACUUUUUGUCCCAGCCCAACAAAUCACUUCAGCAGAAGAGUAGCACUGUUGGUUACGUAAUUUUUCAUUGACUUAUUUAAGCCUGCAUGCAAGUGCAGGUAAGGAAAAUAAUGACUCACUCUUGCCCAAGUCUUUGCUUUAGGCAGCAUGUAUAUUGUACAGAGUUGUGGAAAUAAUGAUGUGCCUUGCACAUACAAAAUUAACAUUCAAAGUUAGGGAAAAAAAAGAAAUUCUUAUAGAAGUAAUGUAUCAAGAGGCUAUAAAAACUGUUCUGGAGUUAUAUUUCUUUUCUUUUACAUAUAAAGGUCAAGGUUGGAUAUUUCCUCUUAGUCUCUAUGGAGGCAACCGCUGCAAUUACUGUUCCUAACAUCAAUAAACAGCUUCUCUUCAUGUUCACAACUUCUCAUUUUUCUACUUUUGAUUUCUGGUUGCAUGAGAUGUUAACAGCCAUGUUGCAAUGAGAUUUAUGCCACAUUCUAGGGAGUUAAACCCAGUUUCUGCUGUGCACUUAUGAUUAUAAAGGAAUGCACAUUUAGGUAAAAGUCAUAGAUAUUUGGUAAGAAAAAGAUUUGGUAAGGAGCCUUGGUCUCUUAAGCUGAAGGAAGAAUGGUGCUCAUUAUGAAUGGUCCUUAUAAUAAGAAAAAUAUGGUCUGAUAAUUUCUUGUCCAAGAGAGUGGCCAAG